CAGGUCUGUGAUGAUGACACACCGUUUUUUGUUUGAGUCUCACGAUCAUGAGACAACCCCUCAUGCACUACCAUCUGAGACCAC